UUUCUCUACUUUUUGGGAGCGUUUCAUUUUCCUUUUUUCUUUCAUUUGUUGUUACAGACGCUCCCAAAAAUGAAGAGAAAGAUCGCCUGUGCCUGGCCGACUGACACGAGAACUAAGAUUCGAACAGCAAAGAAAAUGAGUCAAAAUCUGUUCGA
rnacentral:ribozyme from 1 species